rnacentral:rRNA from 1 species
AAACCAACAGGGAUUGUUUUAGUAACGGCGAGUGAAGCGACAAAAGCUCAAAUUUGAAAUCUGGCACCUUCGGUGUCCGAGUUGUAAUUUGAAGAAGGUAACUUUGGAGUUGGCUCUUGUCUAUGUUCCUUGGAACAGGACGUCACAGAGGGUGAGAAUCCCGUGCGAUGAGAUGUCCAACUCUAUGUAAAGUGCUUUCGAAGAGUCGAGUUGUUUGGGAAUGCAGCUCUAAGUGGGUGGUAAAUUCCAUCUAAAGCUAAAUAUUGGCGAGAGACCGAUAGCGAACAAGUACAGUGAUGGAAAGAUGAAAAGAACUUUGAAAAGAGAGUGAAAAAGUACGUGAAAUUGUUGAAAGGGAAGGGUUUGAGAUCAGACUUGGUAUUUUGUAUGUCUUGCUUUCGGGUGGGGCCUCUGCAGUUUACUGGGCCAGCAUCGGUUUGGACGGUAGGAUAAUGACAUUGGAAUGUGGCACUACUUCGGUGGUGUGUUAUAGACUUUGUUGAUACUGCCUGUCUAGACCGAGGACUGCGUCUUUGAUUAGGAUGCUGGCAUAAUG